GCCAGCAGCCGCGGUAAUACGUAGGGUGCAAGCGUUAAUCGGAAUUACUGGCGUAAAGCGUGCGCAGGCGGUUAUGCAAGACAGAUGUGAAAUCCCCGGGCUCAACCUGGGAACUGCAUUUGUGACUGCAUAGCUAGAGUACGGUAGAGGGGGAUGGAAUUCCACGUGUAGCAGUGAAAAUGCGUAGAUAUGUGGAGGAACACCGAUGGCGAAGGCAAUCCCCUGGACCUGUACUGACGCUCAUGCACGAAAGCGUGGGGAGCAAACAGGAUUAGAUACCCUGGUAGUCCACGCCCUAAACGAUGUCAACUGGUUGUUGGGAGGGUUUCUUCUCAGUAACGUASUAACGCGUGAAGUUGACCGCCUGGGGAGUACGGCCGCAAGGUUGAAASUCAAAGGAAUUGACGGGGACSGKCACAAGCGGUGGAUGAUGUGGUUUAAUUCGAUGCAACGCGAAAAACCUUACCUACCCUUGACAUGCCAGGAAUCUUGCAGAGAUG
rnacentral:rRNA from 1 species